rnacentral:rRNA from 1 species
CGCGCAGGCGGCCAUUUUUUGUCAGGCGUGAAAGCCCUGGGCUUAACCUGGGAACUGCGCUUGAAACGGGAUGGCUAGAGAUCGGGAGAGGAGAGUGGAAUUCCCAGUGUAGAGGUGAAAUUCGUAGAUAUUGGGAAGAACACCGGUGGCGAAGGCGGCUCUCUGGACCGAUACUGACGCUGAGGCGCGAAAGCGUGGGGAGCAAACAGGAUUAGAUACCCUGGUAGUCCACGCUGUAAACGAUGUGUGCUAGACGUUGGGGAGCCUAGCUCUUCGGUGUCGCAGCUAACGCGGUAAGCACACCGCCUGGGGAGUACGGCCGCAAGGUUAAA